ensembl:lncRNA
UCUAAAAUAGGACAGUUUCACAUAAAGUAGGCUGUGAUAUUUCCCUAAUGACACUGGUCUACAAGGCAGUGCAGUAAGAAAUAUCACAUUUUUUUCUGCAAUACUGGUAAUGACAGUACAUCAGAGCUGAAGUGCAGGGCUACGGAAAACAUUCAGACUUCUUUUUUCCCAGCUGGAAUACACAAAGCUUUCUGAAAGGACCCUCUGGGUGGCAUUUCUCUAAUGAACAGUGAACUUGCUUUCCUAAGCUGUGUCAGAUUGUUACAAAGAAGACAAAGGAACUGUGCAUGCCUAAGAAAAAUGAAAUCAAUUUGAGAAGUAAAAAUGCAGGUCACAGGAGGAAUGUGUAAGGACCAAAGAGACAGAAGGAGCAGCUGCAUAGAGCAAUGUAAGGAGUCAAGUUAAUGGCAGUGGACUCUUCAGUGGUGAGUGAUAGCAGAACAAGGUUCAACAGACAGAAACUGGAACGCAGGAUGUUCUGUACUAACACAGG